ensembl:lncRNA
UAACUUUAAAGGGCUUAAUUCACCCUCAUAUUUAAUGACACAAUUAACAUUUUACACCUUGUCUAACGGAAAGCAUGUUUUACUUCACAUAUAUUUGAAAGAUUUAAAUAUAAAGUGAAUUUAAACACAACCACAACUGGUUGUAUGUCUGGAGAGAGAGAGACAGAGAAGGAAAGAGAGAGAAAGAGAGGAGAGAGAGGGGGAGAGAGAGAGAGACAGAGAAGGAAAGAGAGAGAAAGAGAGGAGAUAGGGGAGAGAGAUAAAGAGAUAUGUGAGACAUCGAGGAUGAGGGAGAGAGAGAGAGAGAGAGAGAGAGGGAGGGAGAGAGAGAGAGAGAGAGGGAGAGGACCUCAAAGCGGGCGUAGUAAAACACACAAUUUAUUAUCAAUGUGAUAGAAAUGAAAUCACAGGACAAUUAGAAGCAUGUCAACCCAUCGUCAGCACCAACAACAGCUCUAUAGAACAGAAAUGAAACACAAGGUGGGCGGGUACCCACCCAUCCAACCCACCCCCUCC